UACGGGGGGGGCAAGCGUUGUUCGGAAUUACUGGGCGUAAAGGGCUCGUAGGCGGCCAACUAAGUCAGACGUGAAAUCCCUCGGCUUAACCGGGGAACUGCGUCUGAUACUGGAUGGCUUGAAUCCGGGAGAGGGAUGCGGAAUUCCAGGUGUAGCGGUGAAAUGCGUAGAUAUCUGGAGGAACACCGGUGGCGAAGGCGGCGUCCUGGACCAACACUGACACUGAUGAGCGAAAGCCAGGGGAGCAAACGGG
rnacentral:rRNA from 1 species